GAUGAACGCUGGCGGCGUGCCUAAUACAUGCAAGUCGAGCGAACAGACGAGGAGCUUGCUCCUCUGACGUUAGCGGCGGACGGGGGAGUAACACGUGGAUAACCUACCUAUAAGACUGGGAUAACUUCGGGACACCGGAGCUAAUACCGGAUAAUAUAGUGAACCGCAUGGUUCAAGAGUGAAAAUCCGUUUUGCUGUCUCCUAUAGAUGGUUCCGCGCCGCAUUAGCUAGUUGGUAAGGUAACGUCUUACCAAGGCGACGAUGCGUAGCCGACCUGAGAGGGUGAUCGGCCACACUGGAACUGGGACACGGUCCAGACUCCUACGGGAGGCAGCAGUAGGGAAUCUUCCGCAAUGGGCGAAAGCCUGACGGAGCAACGCCGCGUGAGUGAUGAAGGUCUUCGGAUCGUAAAACUCUGUUAUUAGGGAAGAACAAAUGUGUAAGUAACUAUGCACGUCUUGACGGUACCUAAUCAGAAAGCCACGGCUAACUACGUG
rnacentral:rRNA from 1 species